GUGCUGAGCUGCUGCACACAUGCGGUAAAGAGGACCCACCUCCUUGCAGUGACGGUUUCCACAGAGCCAGGAGAAGGACUCCGUGUAGACACCUCAGAAAGAAAAAGGGAACGGUGCCAGAAGUUCCUGGUGGAUUUCCAAACAGCGUCAUGUUUGAGUUGAAGGAAAACACAAGAGUGACUCAAGAGGUACUUCAUGAAUCCAUGGGUAUGAACACAGAGACAUCAGGAAGAGGUCAGAGAGCGGCGUGAUGCUGCCAGAUGACAAGUAACCAACAUGUUCUCCAGGACAUGAGCAACAUGUAACAACAAGGAUAUUAACGUACGCCCCAUCGUGCGGCGUGGAGAGGGCCGGCUGUUCGAUGCCGGAGUAUUCGCUUACAACAGGCACUGCACAAGGUCAGGGGGCUGGCAGCGGAGACAGGAAGAGAUGAUGUCACCACCCGGGGAAUAUCUCUGAAUCCCUCCCCACUUGGAUGUUUAAUUUACAGCACAUUAGCCAAAGUGAUACCACAUUGUUACAUAUGACCUACUUUAAUGUUCAAUGUGCAUUUGCUAUAGGACAUAUGGCACCGAACAUGACUCUGGUGCCGCUACAUCCAGGGAAACUCAGCUGCCUCGCUGUCUUCCACUCAACCAGGACUUGUUAAUAUUUGCAUAUAUUCCAUUUAUAAUACACACAACAGUAUAUACAUGUUUCACUCUUUUCAUGUUUUUGAGUCUAUAUCACAGAGGACAGUUGAGAGGUGAUAGAACUACACUUAAACCUAAGAUAUUGUGUUGUAUACUGUACUUAAAUUGUCACAUUUGUUUUUUAACACAACUGAAAGAGCUAGAAUAGCACUCAGUACAGUACAUACCUCAGCCAAGGCCCAACCCAGAUCCUUUAAAUUCAAUCAAACUGCACCACACACUCUUAGAUAUCAGUCUAUAAUAAAUGAGCCUGAUUUUUCAUCAAGAUCCAUGAAAUAUUUCCUGGGAAAUCAAUGAAAAGGUUGAAAAAUGAAAGAUCUCACUAUAAAGAAAGAGAGCUAUUUCGGAUGUCAUCGAAAUAGCUUUUUACGUAAUCCUGCUAACAGACAAACAGAUUAACAAACGCAGAAGAAAGUAACAUCUAUCAAACCACGUAAAAAAUGUAUUCAAAUGUUGAAGUUAAAAAUUUUACAGAAAAAUACGAAUGAUGAUUCUUAUAUAAAACAUGAUACGUUCGUAUGGACCCACCAACAUAGUGGAGUAACUUUUUGCUUCCUCCACUGACUAAUCCACUGUCACUGUACCUGCAGCUGGACAACUUAAGUUAUGAUGUAUCUUGUGUAUUUUUCAGUCUUUGUUUCCAGUUAAUUUCUUACUUUGAGAAAGUUGAAAGUAAUUCCUGCUUUGCACAAAUGUAAGAAAAUAUAACUGAGCAGAUGAAAAUAUAAAGAACAGCUACAUUAAAUCAACUACUCUGCACAGACACUCGAAUUUGAGUUCAGUUCAAAUCCAAACACUCAGAGAUUUUCAGAGAAUUGCUUCUGAAAAGUAAAAACACACACACGGCUCGUUUCUCAGCGUGUGAUCCAAAAGAGCUCCAUAUUAUUUUUGCUAAUACUCGAUGAUUUAUGCUCCAGAGGACCCGGUGUUGGAUGUUGAUGUAAUAGCUGCACGUCUGUCAGGACGCAGACGGCUGGCCUGCGCACACCAGAGUAAACAGAGCACAGUAACACAUUCGCCUCACAGUCACUCACUGCAUGCAAAACCUGGAAUAAACAGUCACUUUUAAUUAUUGUUAUUAGCUGUGACAAGAGGGGGGUGAGAACACACUUUGUAAUGUGAUGGAAGUGGAGCAGACAGGGUCUCAUGUGUUGUGACAGUGUCGCACUGUCGAGGAGGGGAGCUCACAGGCUUUUUGAAUUCUCACCUCUCUCAAACAAAUAGUUGCUGAGGGAGGAGUCGCUGUGUGUGUGUGUGUGUGUGUGUGUGUGUGUGUGUGUGUGUGUGUGUGUGUGUGUGUGUGUGUGUGUGUGAACCAAGAGAGUGAUCGUCAAAUUUACGUAUUUACAGGAUUCAUAGAUACAAGAGUUUUACAGCACAGGAACAACUUUGAUGAGGUUUUUACGUGCGAGAGGAAUUACUAACUGUCCCUAACUGGAUGUAUGGAAGUAACCGUGUCUCCUGAUGGAAGAUUAGUCCUUCACCACAACAUUAAAGGAAUACACAGAUUUAAGGUUUAACUUAAUGCAGCAGUACCAGAGAUUACAUCAUGUUUUAUUCCAUGCAUUCUUCUGCUACCUACAUUACCCACAAUGCAUCAAGUGUGUUAAGCGACUGAGCUACUUGUCUCAGGCAGAAAUGAGUGAAGGGAUCUGCAGAGGUCUGAGUAACUCACUCACUUGAGGAGGUUCACGUUUUCACCCCCAUGUCGGUUUGCUUGUAAGCAAGAUUAUACAGAAACCACUGAACGGAUUUAUAUGAAACUCGAUGGAAAGAUGUGGUACAGUAGGUCAGGAAAGAUCCCAUUACAUUAAAGUUAUUUUAUUCCUGCUGCAAUGAACAGUUUCAAAAACCACUCCGUCAUGCUUAUAAUAAUGAUGCUGUGUGGCUUGAAUCCAAAUCUGCAAGAGAAUAAUGCUAAAUGUCCAAUUCUUCAUGUCUGUUGAUGAUUGUCAAACCUAAACCAACUUUACGAGCUUAUUACCACUAACAACUUGACAUGACUGAUGUGGUGCAGCAGAGAACCAUGAACAGUGUUUUGCAUUUACAGUAAUUUCACAGCGGUAUUUGCAGAAUCGUGCAUCGAGGUAAAUGUUUAGCAUGUUGGAGUUUUUCCGUCUAAUGGAGGUGAAAUGAAAGUGCACUUCAAUUGAGAGGAAUAACUGAAAACAGGCGCACGAAUGAAAACAGGCAAUUCACUGUAAAGGAACUGAACAAUGGAAUCAAGCCACGAGCACAAACCCAUUAUUCAAGCCUGGCGAACGUGUUGCUUUAGCCGCGUGGCUUCGUGAACCCUCUGCUCAGAAAACAUGACUAACGAGCUAAUCUCCGAGUCAAGCGCUCGGUAAGUGACAUUAAAGCAACACUUGCACCGUAUCUGUACAGAAGAGAACAAAAGAGGAGAGGACGUGCACAGAUAGUCAGAGACGGACAGGAUAAGCAUCUCUGUCUAAUCAUCAGCAGCUCUGUUUAAACCUUGGCUGCAGCCCAAGAGGGGGAACAGUUUCAUUGACCCCCACGGUCGAUCCACUGUGAAAACAAACACAUCAGCCUGGCAGACUGUGUGACUCACUGCCCUCUCACGUCGACCACAAGCGCUGCCAAGCCUUUUCCUGCUCGCCGGGCCUCGCCCUUCCUCACCUCUCGCUGCCAUCGCCGUGCUAUCUCGAUCUCAACUUUUAACCCACACGUUUAUCAGCCAAAUAAAAGAGAGAAAGAGAAAAGAACGUGACCUCUUUUCUAUCUAUUCUCUUUCUUAGUUGAACUCCCUUUUUACAGCUGUUAGCAGGUGUGCAGGUGUGUGAGGUAGUCGAGGCCUCAAACUUCUCACCCACGUGCGACACUGUUGAUGCCAUUGAGGAUAGAAAGUGUGCAGCUUUAUCCUCAGCUGUACGAUUCGUGUGUUGAGACGAGCGAAGGACACUGAGUUCUUAGAAAGCUCAGGGAGGCAAUAAGAGAAAACAGGUUUUAUAGGAGGUUUUCUACAAAAUUGUUUCUUAUCAUUAUAUUGUUGUAUUGCUUAAUUUAUCCAUAUUUAUCAUACUGCAGUAUCGUAUGGUAUAUAUAUAAGUACGUUUUAAGCUUAUCUGUACAGAAUAUUGACAUUAACAUGUAAAAUCUGCACAUUUGCUUUCCACGUGAAAUGUACAAACCCAGAUUUACCUCAUUGGGUUUUGGCAACAAUUCCCAGUUUCAUAAUUAUCAUAUAAGGAGACAGUCUGUGAAUCUUCAUCUACCUUUGUGUACAUUUUCUAUUAAAUAUCUUGGAGUGAUCUCAUGGAACGAAAACACACAUUUAUCGGAUUCCUCUGUGUCAUAUAUGUCAAAUUUUCUUUUUAUACUAUUAUAUAACCUUUUUGUUAUAUUUGGGUGAGGUUUUUGUAUAAGCCAUUACUGAUUUCUACCACAUCCCACCCAUAUUUUUAUAUUUUAUUCAUAUGUUUUGUAUUUACAUUGUGUGAAAUAAAUUAAAUUAAACUAAAACUAAA